AGUCGUGUGAGCAUUUCGUGCAAAGUACCCCAUUUCCCGUGUGCACGCCCUCACGGUCGGACUCGGACGGAUAGGCUCGCGCGGCGUGCGGUUCGCGAACCGCGCACGGCGGAGGGCACGAGGCGGCCACCGCUCUCCUCGCCGUCGGACGCCAGUGGCACUAGACUAGCGGAGCAUCUCCCCACUGUCGCCGCUCCACUCAUCGAAUCGAAUAAAGUACUGCUGCCAUCUCCUCCCAGGCUCCAAAAUCCCUCCCCUUCCCUCCCUCCCCCGAUCUGAUUCCAUUCCCCACCUCCUCCGAUGCCAUCUCGCCGCCGCUCCUGAGCGCGCCCCGCCCCCCUCCCUCCCUCGCCGCCGCCGCUCCGGAGCCGACGGCGAGCCGGAGCCCUAGCCAGGGAGGGCCCCGUCGGCCAUGGCGUUCUGGUGGCCGCUGCUGGUGCUCGCCGCCGCCUACGCGCUCUGCCGCGUCCUGCUCUUCCUCAUCCCGCCCACCGUCCCCUCCAUGGAGGUCGACGCCUCCGAUGUGAUGGAGGAGGUCAACCAGAACAAGGAGGAUAGCUUCAUCUACGUACCAAGGAAGGGGAAAGCUGCUCAGACUGAUAUGGUUCGAUGCUACGAGCCAGCUACCAUGAAAUACUUGGGAUACUUUCCUGCUUUAACUCCUGAUGAGGUCCAAGAGCAUGUUGCACAAGCUCGUAAAGCACAAGAGAUAUGGGCGAAAAGCAGCUUCAAACAAAGGCGGCAGUUUCUUCGGAUCCUUCUGAAGUAUAUACUUGAACAUCAGGAUCUGAUAUGCGAGAUAUCAUCUCGUGACACUGGAAAGACUAUGGUUGAUGCUUCAUUAGGUGAGAUCAUGACCACAUGUGAGAAGAUUCACUGGCUUUUGGAUGAGGGUGAGAAAUGGUUAAAACCUGAGUACAGAUCUUGUGGGAGAUCAAUGCUACACAAAACAGCGAAAGUUGAAUUCUAUCCUCUCGGGGUGAUUGGUGCAAUUGUAUCAUGGAACUAUCCUUUCCAUAAUGUGUUCAAUCCGAUGCUGGCUGCAGUAUUCUCUGGUAAUGCAGCAGUUAUAAAGGUUUCAGAGCAUGCGAGUUGGUCCGGCUGUUUUUAUUCCCGUAUCAUACAAGCAGCUCUGUUAGCUGUUGGUGCCCCAGAUAAUCUGGUUCACAUAGUAACUGGUUUUGCGGAAACGGGUCAAGCUCUUGUAUCUUCAGUGGACAAAAUAAUAUUCGUUGGAUCACCUGGCGUUGGAAGGAUGAUUAUGCAAAAAGCAUCGGAAACAUUAAUACCUGUAACUCUUGAGCUUGGUGGCAAAGACGCAUUUAUUGUGUGCGAAGAUGUGGAUUUACCCAAUGUUGUUCAAGUUGCUGUGAGAGCUGCACUGCAAUCUAGUGGACAGAACUGUGCUGGUGCUGAAAGAUUUUAUGUCCACAAGGAUAUCUAUCCUACCUUUGUUUCUCGCGUAGUGAAGAUAAUCAAAUCAAUAUCUGUUGGGCCCCCAUUAUCUGGCAGAUACGAUAUGGGUGCAAUCUGUAUGAUAGAGCACUCUGAGAGACUUCAGAAUCUUGUUAACGAUGCUCUUGACAAAGGUGCUGAAAUUGCUGUCAGAGGGAGCUUUGGUAAUUUGGGUGAAGAUGCGGUUGAUCAGUUCUUUCCUCCAACUGUUCUAGUGAAUGUUAAUCACACAAUGAAAAUUAUGCAGGAAGAGGCAUUUGGGCCGAUUCUACCAAUCAUGAAAUUCUCUUCUGAUGAAGAGGUCAUCCAACUUGCAAAUGACUCUAAAUACGGUCUUGGUUGUGCUGUUUUUUCUGGCAACCAGAAGCGUGCCAUCAAAAUAGCAUCUCAACUACACUGUGGUGUUGCAGCAAUCAAUGACUUUGCUUCAAGUUAUAUGUGUCAGUCUCUGCCCUUUGGUGGUGUUAAAGACAGCGGGUUUGGAAGAUUCGCUGGCGUGGAAGGCUUGCGCGCCUGCUGCCUUGUAAAGGCAGUCGUAGAAGACAGGUGGUGGCCAUAUGUGAAAACAAUGAUCCCCAAGCCUAUUCAGUAUCCCGUCUCGGAGAAUGGAUUUGCAUUCCAGCAGCUGCUCGUCGAGACUCUGUACGGCAUCAGCGUGUGGGACAGGCUGCAGUCGCUCGUGAAUCUGUUGAAGAUGAUCUCGGAGCAGAAGUCUCCUAUAACCAGGAGGAAAAGCAGUCUUUUGGCUGUCGUCCCCAAGGCGCAAGUUUGGUGGGGAUCAGGUUCAGAGCAAGACAGCAUUUAUCUGAAUGUAAAACGCCCUUUAGAACCAGUGCUUAUCCUAGAAAGUGAAGAUCGCAAUCGACGUUGUAAGCCCUGGAUUCGAUUUUCACCUGCCUGAAUGUAAAUGUUCCGUAUGUUUUCUGAGACUUUCAUCUAGCAUAGCACCUCAGUUUUAUAGACCGCUUGUGAUGUCGUGUUGAUCUAUACAUGCCUGCUGCCCAUGCAGCGGUAUAAGAGGGGUGCAUCUGUUAAGCAAUUUUAUUUACUCUUACUCUAUGUUCCUCUUAGUGAAAUAUUAAUCAUCAA
rnacentral:rRNA from 1 species